GACGAACGCUGGCGGCGUGCUUAACACAUGCAAGUCGAACGAAGAGCGAUGGAAGCUUGCCUCUAUCAAUCUUAGUGGCGAACGGGUGAGUAACGCGUAAUCAACCUGCCCUUCAGAGGGGGACAACAGUUGGAAACGACUGCUAAUACCGCAUACGAUCUAACCUCGGCAUCGAGGAUAGAUGAAAGGUGGCCUCUACAUGUAAGCUAUCACUGAAGGAGGGGAUUGCGUCUGAUUAGCUAGUUGGAGGGGUAACGGCCCACCAAGGCGAUGAUCAGUAGCCGGUCUGAGAGGAUGAACGGCCACAUUGGGACUGAGACACGGCCCAGACUCCUACGGGAGGCAGCAGUGGGGAAUCUUCCGCAAUGGACGAAAGUCUGACGGAGCAACGCCGCGUGAGUGAUGACGGCCUUCGGGUUGUAAAGCUCUGUUAAUCGGGACGAAAGGCCUUCUUGCGAAUAGUGAGAAGGAUUGACGGUACCGGAAUAGAAAGCCACGGCUAACUACGUG
rnacentral:rRNA from 1 species